GUCAAGGUCUGCAAGCACCUAUACUGAGUCCAUUCAGCCGACGUGGUUUCAUAGAGAGGAAGAGAACUUAAAUGUUUUUCUGUAACUUCUACAUCAAUGACAUCUCUGCCUCCAAGCUGCCUGUCAGUGUGAGACAAAAGGAGAGAAAAGACGGAAUUGAAGGCGCCUGAGUGUCAAGCCUGGCGUCGAGGGCCGGCCUUUCCAAGAAGCUGAAACCUGCAGGAAGAGAGACUGACCGAAGCAGGCGCUGGUGAAAGGAUGGCCCAAAUGAUACAGAAUGUCAAAUUCAAGAUUUACUAAGCAAGGAUCGUGCUAGGAUCCCGUUCCUGCUCUCCAGGUGCUCACC